rnacentral:rRNA from 1 species
GACGAACGCUGGCGGCGUGCCUAAUACAUGCAAGUAGAACGCUGAAGGAGGAGCUUGCUUCUCUGGAUGAGUUGCGAACGGGUGAGUAACGCGUAGGUAACCUGCCUGGUAGCGGGGGAUAACUAUUGGAAACGAUAGCUAAUACCGCAUAAGAGUAGAUGUUGCAUGACAUUUGCUUAAAAGGUGCAAUUGCAUCACUACCAGAUGGACCUGCGUUGUAUUAGCUAGUUGGUGAGGUAACGGCUCACCAAGGCGACGAUACAUAGCCGACCUGAGAGGGUGAUCGGCCACACUGGGACUGAGACACGGCCCAGACUCCUACGGGAGGCAGCAGUAGGGAAUCUUCGGCAAUGGACGGAAGUCUGACCGAGCAACGCCGCGUGAGGGAAGAAGGUUCUCGGAUCGUAAAGCUCUGUUGUAAGAGAAGAACGAGUGUGAGAGUGGAAAGUUCACACUGUGACGGUAUCUUACCAGAAAGGGACGGCUAACUACGUG